GACGAACGCUGGCGGCGUGCCUAAGACAUGCAAGUCGAGCGAGGGAACUUCGGUUUCCGAGCGGCGGACGGGUGAGUAACGCGUGGGUAACCUGCCCUUCAGCCCGGGAUAACUGCCUGAAAAGGUGGCUAAUACCGGAUGCGGUGAUGAGGUCGCAUGAACUGAUCACGAAAAUUACGGUGCUGAAGGAUGGGCCCGCGUCCCAUUAGCUAGUUGGUGAGGUAACGGCCCACCAAGGCGACGAUGGGUAGCCGGCCUGAGAGGGUGGACGGCCACACUGGGACUGAGACACGGCCCAGACUCCUACGGGAGGCAGCAGUCGGGAAUCUUCCACAAUGGGCGAAAGCCUGAUGGAGCGACGCCGCGUGAGGGAAGAAGGUCUUCGGAUCGUAAACCUCUGUCCUCAGGGACGAUGAUGACGGUACCUGAGGAGGAAGCCACGGCUAACUACGUGCCAGCAGCCGCGGUAAACUACUCGUA
rnacentral:rRNA from 1 species